GGAUUCCCCUAGUAACUGCGAGUGAAGCGGGAAAAGCUCAAAUUUGAAAUCUGGCAGUCUCUGACUGUCCGAGUUGUAAUCUAGAGAAGUGUUGCCAGUGCUGGACCRUGUACAAGUCUCCUGGAAUGGAGCAUCAUAGAGGGUGAGAAUCCCGUCUUUGACAUGGACUACCAGUGUGUUAUGGUAUGCUCUCAAAGAGUCGAGUUGUUUGGGAAUGCAGCUCAAAAUGGGUGGUAAAUGCCAUCUAAAGCUAAAUAUUGGCGAGAGACCGAUAGCGAACAAGUACCGUGAGGGAAAGAUGAAAAGAACUUUGGAAAGAGAGUUAAACAGUACGUGAAAUUGCUGAAAGGGAAACGCUUGAAGUCAGUCACGUUGGCUAGAAAUCAGCCUUGCUUUUGCUUGGUGUAUUUUCUAGUCUACGGGUCAGCAUCAAUUUUGAUCAUUGGAUAAAGUCUUUGGGAAUGUGGCAUCUUUGGAUGUGUUAUAGCCCAUUGUCGCAUACAGUGGUUGGGAUUGAGGAACUCAGCAUGCCGCAAGGCCGGGUCUUUUGACCACGCUCAUGCUUAGGAUGCUGGCAUAAUGGCUUUAAUCGACCCGUCUUGAAACACGGACCAAGGAGUCUAACAUGCCUGCGAGUGUUUGGGUGGAAAACUCAUGCGCGUAAUGAAAGUGAAAGUUGAGAUCUCUUUGGAGAGCAUUGACGCCCAGACCAGACCUUCUGUGACGGAUCUGCGGUAGAGCAUGUAUGUUGGGACCCGAAAGAUGGUGAACUAUGCCUGAAUAGGGUGAAGCCAGAGGAAACUCUGGUGGAGGCUCGUAGCGAUUCUGACGUGCAAAUCGAUCGUCAAAUUUGGGUAUAGGGGCGAAAGACUAAUCGA
rnacentral:rRNA from 1 species